rnacentral:rRNA from 1 species
UACGAAGGGGGCUAGCGUUACUCGGAUUGACUGGGCGUAAAGGGCGCGUAGGCGGUUUGCAUAGUCAGACGUGAAAUUCCUGGGCUUAACCUGGGGGCUGCGUUUGAUACAUGCAGGCUUGAGUUCGGAAGAGGGUCGUGGAAUUCCCAGUGUAGAGGUGAAAUUCGUAGAUAUUGGGAAGAACACCGGUGGCGAAGGCGGCGACCUGGUCCGAUACUGACGCUGAGGCGCGAAAGCGUGGGGAGCAAACAGG